GCCGGGGUGGUGGAACGGUAGACACCGGGGACUUAAAAUCCCCUGCCGCGAGGCGUACGGGUUCAAGUCCCGUUCCCGGCA
rnacentral:tRNA from 1 species